GAGAUGUUGGGACAGAGAGGCUUAGAACCUUAGAGGCUGGGCUGUAUGUUCUGUGAUUCCACGGAGAACGUAGAGCUCAAGCUCCAUGGAGACAUAGAGGCCGAGCUGCAUAGAGACAGCGAGGCCACAGGGAUGGGGAUUGGGGAGCGCGUAAAGGCUGAGGCAAAGAGAGUCCGAGGGCCAUAGAAACAAAGUUAGUAAGAAGCUGUGUGAAAGACCUCCUGACCCAAACUUUCCUGUCUUCUUCAUCUUCUGAUUUUCUGCUGCUGCUCCCUAGGGCCCUGCCUGGAAGAACAACCCAUUGGCCCAGUUGGCAUCUGAACAGGGACCAGAGUAAGGAGAAAAGGGUUCAGCAACAGUUCCAAAAUUAAGAGGCACCUUAUUUUCUUCAAUACAUUUGAGUACAUUCUGGUCUCCUUGGUCCUUUGGCAGAGGAAGCUGAUGGUCCGCCUUGGGGUCCCGAGAAUCUUGUCAAACACUGCCAGGUUACAAAAGCGAUCGGCACAUCACAGGCGCCAGAAGUUGAGGAUGCAGAAGAUGAUGAGGUUCAAGGCAAAGCAGAGCCCAAACCAUCCUAUCCAGUCCACCAAGAAGCGUCUGCUCCAGACUUGGAAACAGAUUAAACACUUUACUGCUGAAGGAAUUCGAGUGAUCAAGGAUAAAGGGCAACGUGUUUCUCCUACUCGCUUAGUUUCAGCAGUUCUGGCAGUAUUCUCUGCCCCGCUGGUAGAAAGUGCGGGAGUCUAUUGGGCUUAGGCACUGCUGGCUGCUGGAGCAGAUUAAUGAUCCUGUCACCACCCCAAGAAAGAACUUAGAGGUGCAGAUUGUCAUCAGUGACCACCACCAUUAGAAAACAUUUUAAAAAAUAAAGUUGUUAGUGAAGCCA